UCAUCCACAAUCUUCAUCUUUACUCAGCAAUAUGCAGUUUCCUUAGCUGACUGACUGACAGUCUGUUUCUGCUAUGUCGUGCUUCGUUACUUCAUUGCCUUGUUUGGCUUGACAAGGACAGAGUAGUCAAGGGCAUCAACAGAUCUGGGACCAGGCUACAGUUUCCUCACUUAUAGAACAAGGAGAAGAGUGCAACUCCACACCAAAGCAAAUCACGAACCGAAAACAACCUCAGACAUGUACCAUAAGAAAUACUUUACUUUGACCGCAGUACAAUCCAUAGUGCUUGAGCAUCUAGAGCAUCUCCAGCCCUGUUCCUGGAGAGAGAUCUUCCUGGAGGUUUUAACUCCAGCCCUGUUCCUGGAGAGAGAUCUUCCUGGAGGUUUUAACUCCAGCCCUGUUCCUGGAGAGAGAUCUUCCUGGAGGUUUUAACUCCAGCCCUGUUCCUGGAGAGAGAUUUUCCUGGAGGUUUUAACUCCAGCCCUGUUCCUGGAGAGAGACCUUCCUGGAGGUUUUAACUCCAGCCCUGUUCCUGGAGUGAGAUCUUCCUGGAGGUUUAAACUCCAGCCCUGUUCCUGGAGAGAGAUCUUCCUGGAGGUUUUAACUCCAGCCCUGUUCCUGGAGAGAGAUCUUCCUGGAGGUUUUAACUCCAGCCCUGUUCCUGGAGAGAGAUCUUCCUGGAGGUUUAAACUCCAGCCCUGUUCCUGGAGAGAGAUCUUCCUGGAGGUUUUAACUCCAGCCCUGUUCCUGGAGUGAGAUCUUCCUGGAGGUUUAAACUCCAGCCCUGUUCCUGGAGAGAGACCCUCCUGGAGGUUUUAACUCCAACCCUGUUCCUAGAGAGAAACCCUCCUGUAGAACCCUGAAUAUUCUAUACUUCCUGUCCUGUUGUUCUGGGUACUAAUGUAGGUUGAUGUAUUGUGGACCAAAGGGCCCUUGGAAAGCAUGAUAGAACCAUGGUAGGAAAUACAACACUCCUAUAUGCACCCUGACAGGAUAAAUACACAGAUACAACACUCCUAUAUGCACCCUGACAGGAUAAAUACACAGAUACAACACUCAUAUAUGCACACUGACAGGAUAAGUACACAGAUACAACACUCCUAUAUGCACACUGACAGGAUAAAUAGACUCAGACAACACACUAUAGUAGGGUGAAUGAUAAGAAUGCUUUCUCCCCCCCCCCCCUUCUCACACACACACACACACACACACACACACACACACACACACACACACACACACCAAUCAGCAUCCUCAUUCAUCCCUGUUACUGGAGAGAUCCCCACAUAUUAUCUUGACAUUGAGAGCUCUCAUGGGGUGGAUCUGUGCAACAGGUGCUCAGGACGUUUGGGGGUGGCGCAAUGCACUCUGGGAUCUGUAGUAGCAUACAUAUACAUAUUAUGAAUGCCUUUUUUUGCCCUCCUUCCAAUGUUCAAAUGUAUUUUUGUAUAAUUUAUUAAGGGAAAUUGUCCACCCCAACUGGUGAUUAAUAAAAGCCUUGUAGGCUGGGUGUUUGUAAAAUAAUAUGUAGGCUCUGCUAAAGGGGGAUGUUGUUAUAUAGUAUUGCCAUCAUUUUGACUCCACUAUUAAAAUAUUAUUCCUA